GGUUUCGUGGCCCAAUGGCAAGGCGUCUGACUACGACCGAGGAUUUCCUCCUCUGAAAUCGUUAUCAGGAGAUUCUGGGUUCGACCCCCAGCGAGAUCA